rnacentral:rRNA from 1 species
GCGUUGUUCGGAUUCAUUGGGCGUAAAGGGUGCGUAGGCGGCGCGGUAAGUCGGGUGUGAAAUCUCGGGGCUUAACUCCGAAACUGCAUUCGAUACUGCCGUGCUUGAGGACUGGAGUGGAGACUGGAAUUUACGGUGUAGCGGUGAAAUGCGUAGAUAUCGUAAGGAAGACCAGUGGCGAAGGCGGGUCUCUGGACAGUUCCUGACGCUGAGGCACGAAGGCCAGGGGAGCAAACGGGAUUAGAUACCCCGGUAGUCCUGGCGGUAAACGGUGCACGUUUGGUGUGGGAGGAUUCGACCCCUUCUGCGCCGGAGCUAACGCGUUAAACGUGCCGCCUGGGGAGUACGGUCGCAAGAUUAAAACUCAAAGAAAUUGACGGGGGCCCGCACAAGCGGUGGAGUAUGUGGCUCAAUUCGAUGCAACGCGAAGAACCUUACCUGGCCUUGACAUGCAUCCCUAAGUUGGUGAAAGCCAGCGAGUCCCGAAAGGGACAAUUUGCACAGGUGCUGCAUGGCUGUCGUCAGCUCGUGUCGUGAGAUGUUGGGUUGAGUCCCGCAACGAGCGCAACCCCUGUGAACUGUUGCCACCGAGCCGUGAGGCUCGAGCACUCUGUUCAGACUGCCCCGCUCUGACGGGGAGGAAGGUGGGGACGACGUCAAGUCAGUAUGGCCCUUACGGCCAGGGCUGCACACGUACUACAAUGCCCAGUACAAAACGAUCCAAGACCGCGAGGUGGAGGAAAUCACUAAAACUGG